rnacentral:sRNA from 2 species
AUGGCGCCAUAUAACCAUUAGUUAUCAUAAAAAUAUUCAGGGACGAUAUGCAGUCUAUGUUGAAAGACAUCCUGAAUCUCAGUCUGGAUCUCAACUCGAAUGGAUGAGCCAUGGAUAGCGGAUGGUUAUUCGAUGAUUCGUAAUAUUAGAUUCUGCAUGAGUCAAUGUAUCAAGAUCCUGCCCGGUACCAUUGUCAGAACCUGGACAGAAUAUCCGAAAUCACCGCUUGGCUCUCACAAUUACUAGCAUUGAACAUAUCGAGUAGUAUGUUCUAGAAACACGGAUAAACUCAUGAACUAGAGUGGUGGAUGGAAAGCGCCUACACGC